AGUGAACGCUGGCGGUAGGCCUAACACAUGCAAGUCGAACGCCAGCACAGUAAGAGCUUGCUCUUACGGGUGGCGAGUGGCGGACGGGUGAGGAAUACAUCGGAAUCUACUUUUUCGUGGGGGAUAACGUAGGGAAACUUACGCUAAUACCGCAUACGACCUACGGGUGAAAGCAGGGGAUCUUCGGACCUUGCGCGAUUGAAUGAGCCGAUGUCGGAUUAGCUAGUUGGCGGGGUAAAGGCCCACCAAGGCGACGAUCCGUAGCUGGUCUGAGAGGAUGAUCAGCCACACUGGAACUGAGACACGGUCCAGACUCCUACGGGAGGCAGCAGUGGGGAAUAUUGGACAAUGGGCGCAAGCCUGAUCCAGCCAUACCGCGUGGGUGAAGAAGGCCUUCGGGUUGUAAAGCCCUUUUGUUGGGAAAGAAAAGCAGCAGGUUAAUACCCCGCUGUUCUGACGGUACCCAAAGAAUAAGCACCGGCUAACUUCGUG
rnacentral:rRNA from 1 species